CGCGUAGGCGGCCUCUUAAGUCAGAUGUGAAAUCCCGGGGCUUAACCCCGGAAGUGCAUUUGAAACUAUUAGGCUUGAGUAUGGGAGAGGGAAGUGGAAUUCCUGGUGUAGAGGUGAAAUUCGUAGAUAUCAGGAGGAACAUCGGUGGCGAAGGCGACUUCCUGGACCAAUACUGGCGCUGAGGCGCGAAGGCGUGGGGAGCAAACA
rnacentral:rRNA from 1 species